rnacentral:rRNA from 1 species
GAUGAACGCUGGCGGCGUGCCUAAUACAUGCAAGUCGAGCGAACAGACGAGGAGCUUGCUCCUCUGACGUUAGCGGCGGACGGGUGAGUAACACGUGGAUAACCUACCUAUAAGACUGGGAUAACUUCGGGAAACCGGAGCUAAUACCGGAUAAUAUAUUGAACCGCAUGGUUCAAUAGUGAAAGACGGUUUUGCUGUCACUUAUAGAUGGAUCCGCGCCGCAUUAGCUAGUUGGUAAGGUAACGGCUUACCAAGGCAACGAUGCGUAGCCGACCUGAGAGGGUGAACGGCCACACUGUAACUGAGACACGGUCCAGACUCCUACGGGAGGCAGCAGUAGGGAAUCUUCCGCGAUGGGCGAAAGCCUGACGGAGCAACGCCGCGUGAGUGAUGAAGGUCUUCGGAUCGUAAAACUCUGUUAUUAGGGAAGAACAAAUGUGUAAGUAACUAUGCACGUCUUGACGGUACCUAAUCAGAAAGCCACGGCUAACUACGUG